GAUCAGGUGGCCGAGUGGUUAAGGCGAUGGACUGCUAAAUCCAUUGGGGUUUCCCCGCGUGAGUUCGAAUCUCAUCCUGAUCG
rnacentral:tRNA from 1 species